UGCACUGGGAGAAGCUUCUGGCCGGGUCACAAAACCACACGCUCCAUCCUGGCCGUGGUGUCCUCAGUGGCUUUGGGGGGGGGGGUGAUCUUCCACAGAUGGACCCAGCAUCUUGCCACCUGAUGUCAGGCCGUCUGGGGACAGGGGGAGUCUUUCUUCUGUGUCAGGCAGAGUGGGUAGAGACGGGGCGCGGCGGCUGGGAAGAGGCGGGGGUGACCUCCCCGUGAUGCGGGGGACAGGAGGCGGCACUGAUUGUCCUCCUUCAGGAGCCAGCAGCGCAGCACCGGCUCCACCAACGUCACGACGCACCACAGCUGUCGGCACUUGAGCACAGACGUCACAAACAUUCCGCCACUGCGCUCGGCUCCGUGAACUCGUCCGCCGCCUGACAGUGACCCCCCUCCCCCCCUCCCCAUCUCAUCACAGUCUGGGGAACUCGGUGCCACACGUGCGCUCAGGAGCAGGACAAUCCAGAUGCUUCCGCAGCUUCCGACAGGCCUUAGCAGAGUGCCCCGCGCAGGAGGCCCCCGCCCUCCCUCCGGCCCCCGGGCAACUUCUCCCGGGUCUUCACACACGAAACUGAAGGCCUUUCCACUUUAGAAAGUCGCAAGAUGCACCCUCAUGACAAGCAGGACAGGGCGAGCGACAGCACACAAUUGGGUCUGAGCAACCAGCCGAGUGAAGCCACCGGCUGGGCCCGCGGCAGCCGGAGGCGGCCAGAGAAACGCAGCCCCCCCGCCACUGCCCUGCUCCAUGUCGUGUAGUCCAGCUCUGACUCUGCAGGGAGUCCCCAGUCAGCUCUCUGUGACAUCGGCUAGUAAUGAGACAGGCGCUCAGAGGGGACAAUGAUGUGAGCUAUGGAUGGAAAUUCCUGAAGUCGUGCUUGGCCGGCAGUCAAUAAAGUGGAGCUAAUAUUGUUCGGAA